UCUUUCUGAAAUAAUAAAUCAGUCAGUCAAGUUUCAUCCUUCAACCAGUGCAGUGCUGAAGUUAAUCGUCCGAACCUCCCCACGGGCCGGGAAGCAGCCAACAUGGCCCGCUUCCCGGGAACCCCGUACAUAACUGGCGCAGUCGGUCGUCUCGGUGGAUUACCGAGACUUAAGACUUCCACCAUAUUCACUCAACACCCGCUUGGUAACCACGUCUAGGGAAAGCAGCAGACGUGCAAAACAACCAGGCUAAUUUCUCCCCAAUGAACCUAACCAGCGUUGGAGAGGUAGUAAUGGAUAUGAAGAAUGAGUUGUAAUUGUAAAAUUCGUAAUCAUUGUGGCGUUAACGAAAAGAACAAAAAAAAAAAAGGGUUUUAUGCGUGAUUGAGGAGAGAGCAGACAUAGCUCAACCUCAACCCAAGUGCUUUUGUCCCUUCCAAAAGCCUUAGCCUGCAAAAAUUCUGAUGGAUGCUACUAAGAAACUGUACACCGAAUAUCGCUGUUAGAAUUAAGUUUGGUAGGACAAGUUAGCAAGAAAUCGUUUAAAUCAAACCAGAAAAUUCUCAUAAUUCUUAUGAGCCUGAGCCGCAUCAACCAAAUGCUAGGAAUGUGAUAUCCUUGAUACGUCAGGAAUCCUUCCUGUUGCCAUCCCGGGGCUCCAGACAACUAGAUUUGUGAGGCCCUCGACACGUCAGGACUCCGUCUAGCCUGGAACAGUCAUUGGGAAUGUGAUGUCCUCGAUACGUCAGGCAUCCGCCCUUGGACGAACUCCGCAGCAACUCGAGCACAUCAG